UGGGGAAUCUUCCGCAAUGGGCGAAAGCCUGACGGAGCAAUGCCGCGUGAGUGAAGAAGGCCUUCGGGUUGUAAAACUCUGUCCUUAUCGAAGAGAGGUGGGUAUGUGAAUAAUGUACCUAUAGGACGGUAGAUAAGGAGGAAGCCCCGGCUAACUACGUGCCAGCAGCCGCGGUAAUACGUAGGGGGCGAGCGUUGUCCGGAAUCACUGGGCGUAAAGGGCGCGUAGGCGGUUUAAUAAGUCAGUGGUGAAAACUGAGGGCUCAACCCUCAGCCUGCCACUGAUACUGUUAGGCUUGAGUAUGGAAGAGGAGAAUGGAAUUCCUAGUGUAGCGGUGAAAUGCGUAGAUAUUAGGAGGAACACCAGUGGCGAAGGCGAUUCUCUGGGCCAAGGCUGACGCUGAGGCGCGAAAGCGUGGGGAGCAAACAGGAUUAGAUACCC
rnacentral:rRNA from 1 species